CCCGAGAUAACAUGUCAAACUCGUGACUUGAUCAACUCCAUUGGAAAAAAAAACAAUAAGGUUCGAUUCCCAACAAUUAAAAUGUAGAAGGAUGAAAUCAAAAAAAAAAUCAAUUAACAAAAAAAACACCAAUAAGCCUGGGCAAGUCCACUAAGGUUCGUGAGUUGAAUUAUAUGAACGAGAUAAUCUAAUAGGAAUAAAAAAAAAACAUGAAGCCUAAAUUGAAAAAAAUCAAUAAAAAAA
rnacentral:lncRNA from 1 species